rfam:Cavia porcellus supercont2_166 genomic scaffold, whole genome shotgun sequence.
GCCGGGCGUGGUGGCGCACGCCUGUAGUCCCAGCUACUCGGGAGGCUGAGGUGGGAGGAUCGCUUGAGUCCAGGAGUUCUGGGCUGCAGUGCGCUAUGCCGAUCGGGUGUCCGCACUAAGUUCGGCAUCAAUAUGGUGACCUCCCUGGAGCGGGACCACCAGGUUGCCUAAGGAGGGGUGAACCGGCCCAGGUCGGAAACGGAGCAGGUCAAAACUCCCGUGCUGAUCAGUAGUGGGAUCGCGCCUGUGAAUAGCCACUGCACUCCAGCCUGGGCAAUAUAGUGAGACCCUGUCUCUA